CAGCAGCCACGGGAAUACGGAGGAUCCAAGCGUUAUCCGGAUUUAUUGGGUUUAAAGGGUGCGUAGGUGGCCUGUUAAGUCAGGGGUGAAAGACGGUAGCUCAACUAUCGCAGUGCCCUUGAUACUGAUGGGCUUGAAUGAACUAGAGGUAGGCGGAAUGUGACAAGUAGCGGUGAAACGCAUAGAUAUGUCACAGAACACCAAUUGCGAAGGCAGCUUACUAUGGUUUUAUUGACACUGAGGCACGAAAGCGUGGGGAUCAAACAGGAUUAGAUACCCGCGUAGUCCCUGUCUCUUAUAC
rnacentral:rRNA from 1 species